CUAGAAUCUACCCGAUCAAAGAGUUGUUUUUCAAUACCUUCUCCUUCUCUGCUUCUGCCCUCGAUUCUUAAUUUAGACUAUCGUGCUUUGGUUCUAGUUUGCCCUUGGUGCUGCCGUAUUUCUGAGGUCCUACAACAAGUUCACCUCUCAUCAGGUACAUAUUUCUUCAAUUCUAAUGGACAAUGAUGGUAUGUGUACGUGCGACAAUUAUGGUCGACUUAUCCUGUUUUCUUCGAGUCCGGAGCCAAAAUGACAUAUUUUUACAGCAAUUAGACCAAAAUAGGCUGUCCUUUUUUUUUUUAUACCCAAAUGGCUAUUUCGUUGAUCAUUCAACGAAAUACCCCAGUUACUGUUCAUAGCAGCAACUCUUUUUUUUUUUUUUUUUUUUUGCUAUUUCGUGAAAAAAUGAUUUUUUUUUUACAUAUCAUGACACAAUCCACGAAAUAGAUGUUUUUUUUAUUUUAUUUCGUGAAUAAAAAAAGAAA